rnacentral:rRNA from 1 species
UACGGAGGGUGCGAGCGUUGUCCGGAAUCAUUGGGCGUAAAGGGCGCGUAGGCGGCGGGACAAGCGUGCGGUGAAAGCUCGGGGCUCAACCCCGAGUCGGCCGUGCGAACUGUUUUGCUGGAGCACUGUAGAGGCAGGCGGAAUUCCGGGUGUAGCGGUGGAAUGCGUAGAGAUCCGGAAGAACACCGGUGGCGAAGGCGGCCUGCUGGGCAGUUGCUGACACUGAGGCGCGACAGCGUGGGGAGCAAACAGG